rnacentral:rRNA from 1 species
AUGUUGCACUCAAUGGGGAAAGACAUAGAAUCGUUUCCUCUUCCAGAUAUCGACAAACAGCAUGAGACGACAGACGACAUACCUAGGGAGAUCAUUGAGGAGACCUCCAUCGAGGUGGACCCCGAGGACGCAUCGUUGCAUAAAAACCUCAACAACGAGCAGAGGAAGGCCUACGACGAAAUCCUAGCCACGGUUGACCGCCAAAGAGGAGGUAUAUUCUUUGUCGAUGGGCCGGGAGGCACAGGAAAAACUUCUCUUUACAGGGCGCUUUUGGCCACAGUGCACGGACAAGGCAAGAUUGCUGUGGCGACGGCCACUUCCGGUGUUGCUGCUUCCAUAAUGCCUGGAGGGAGAACCGCACACUCGAGGUUUAAGAUUCCACUAAAAAUAGACAAUGGAGCUAUUUGUAGGUUCACAAAACAAAGUGGGACAGGAAAGGUACUCCAAGCGGCAUCACUAAUACUCUGGGAUGAAGCAUCUAUGACUAAGAGGCAGACAGUGGAGGCGUUAGACAAAAGCAUGCGAGACAUAACGGACAGACCAGAUCUUCCAUUUGGUGGAAAAACUAUUGUAUUUGGGGGAGAUUUUAGACAAGUGCUACCUGUUGUCCAGAAGGGAACCAGAGCCCAAAUAGUAGAUGCAUCACUGCGCAGGUCAGAGCUCUGGAAUUGCAUGCGUCAAUUGAAGCUUGUACGCAACAUGAGGGCUCAAAACAACUCUUGGUUCGCAGAAUACCUACUACGCAUUGGGAACGGAACCGAGGAGACAAAUGAUGAUGGUGAAAUACUACUACCUACAAGCAUAUGUGUGCCAAAUAAGACGGAUGAUAAUGGCCUCGAUAGACUCAUCAACAGUAUCUACCAAACAGGCAAUGCUUCACUAAAAGAUCCAAAGUACAUCAUAUCAAGAGCAAUUUUAUCCACAAGGAACGAUUGCGUAGACAAAAUCAACCUAAAAAUGAUUGAUCGCUUCCAGGGGGAGGAGAUGGUGUACCACAGCUUUGAUUCUGUAGAAGACGACCCACAUAACUACUAUCCACCAGAAUUCCUAAACACCCUAACCCCAAAUGGACUGCCUCCGCAUAUGUUGAAGCUCAAAAUUAAUUGUCCAAUCAUACUACUCAGGAACAUCGACCCUGCUAAUGGACUCUGCAAUGGCACGAGGCUGGUCGUACGUGGUUUUCAAAAAAAUACAAUUGAUGCAGAGAUUGUGGUGGGACAGCACUCUGGAAUGCGAGUUUUUCCUACCUCGGAUACCAUUAUGCCCCUCUGA